rnacentral:misc_RNA from 1 species
AACGCAACUUGCGCUUCGUGGAAAUCCACGAAGCAUGCCUGUUUGAGUGCCAUGAAUCCUCCCCUUCCAUGCGGUUGCCACAGAGCGCUGUGUGGCGCAAGGGGGUAUGAUGGGCGCAUUUUUUUUUUGCCUGAGCCCCCCAGGGUCCAGGCUCGCCCAAAAUGAAUUAGCGCCGAUCCUCGCUAGUGGGACAGGCCCGCGCGGUCCUUGCAACAUGAGUGCAGCAGGAUGGAGUGUGCUUCGAACAUGAAGGAUUCCUCUCUCAUUUUGGUCUCAAAUCAGGUAGGAUCACCCGCUGAACUUAA